GACGUAGGGCGCGAGCGUUGUCCGGAUUUAUUGGGCGUAAAGAGCUCGUAGGCGGCUUGUCGCGUCGACUGUGAAAACCCGCGGCUCAACUGCGGGCCUGCAGCCGAUACGGGCAGGCUAGAGUUCGGUAGGGGAGACUGGAAUUCCUGGUGUAGCGGUGAAAUUCGUAGAUAUCGGGAGGAACACCGGUGGCGAAGGCGGCGACCUGGGUAGAUACUGACGCUGAGGCGCGAAAGCGUGGGGAGCAAACAGG
rnacentral:rRNA from 1 species